GACGAACGCUGGCGGCGUGCUCAACACAUGCAAGUUGAACGGAGUAUAUCUGAAGGGUAACCGGAGGAUAUAUUUAGUGGCGAACGGGUGAGUAAUGCAUGAGAACGUAUCCUCAAGAGGGGGACAACAUUGGGAAACCGAUGCUAAUACCCCAUAAGCCGGGAGGUAAAAGGAGCAAUCCGCUUGAGGAGCGGUUCAUGUCCUAUCAGCUAGUUGGUGAGGUAACGGCUCACCAAGGCGAAGACGGGUAGCCGGCCUGAGAGGGUGAACGGCCACACUGGAACUGAGAGACGGUCCAGACUCCUACGGGAGGCAGCAGUGGGGAAUAUUGGGCAAUGGGGGAAACCCUGACCCAGCGACGCCGCGUGAGGGAUGAAGGCCUUCGGGUUGUAAACUCCUUUCGCUAUCGACGAAGCCACUUGUGGUGACGGUAGGUAGAUAAGAAGCACCGGCUAACUACGUGCCAGCCGCCGCAGUAA
rnacentral:rRNA from 1 species